UGAGGAAUAUUGGUCAAUGGGCGAGAGCCUGAACCAGCCAAGUCGCGUGAAGGAAGACUGCCUUAUGGGUUGUAAACUUCUUUUAUACAGGAAUAAAAAGGCUUACGUGUAGGCCAUUGCAAGUACUGUAUGAAUAAGCAUCGGCUAACUCCGUGCCAGCAGCCGCGGUAAUACGGAGGAUGCGAGCGUUAUCCGGAUUUAUUGGGUUUAAAGGGUGCGCAGGCGGGCUUUUAAGUCAGCGGUGAAAUCUGGACGCUUAACGUCCAAACUGCCGUUGAAACUGGGAGUCUUGAGUAUGGAUGAAGUAGGCGGAAUUCGUUGUGUAGCGGUGACAUGCAUAGAUAUAACGAGGAACUCCGAUUGCGUAGGCAGCUUACUAAGCCAUAACUGACGCUCAUGCACGAAAGCGUGGGGAUCAAACAGGAUUAGAUACCCUGGUAGUCCACGCCGUAAACGAUGAUUACUAGUUGUAUGCGAUAUGAUAGUAUGUGACUAAGCGAAAGCGAUAAGUAAUCCACCUGGGGAGUACGCCGGCAACGGUG
rnacentral:rRNA from 1 species